UGAUAGCUGUGCUUAAAACACAUAUUUUUCUGUGUGAAACAGCAUUACAUGGGUAGUAAGUAGUGUUAAAGGCUAGAAGCAGGCUUGUGAACGUGUAAAUAUGCAGUAGCUUUAAAGUGAACUUUAAAAAACAUCUUUUAUGUCGAGUUUUUCUGACACACAUGCUCUGUGGCUAAACACCCCCCAUGUGCAUUUCUGCUAACAGGAGGCUGAGUAUGAUCACUGUAGAGCUUUAUGAGUUUAUUUAUCUGUUUAUACAGAGAUAAACCCAGCUGAAUUAAAGAAUCCAAACCAACUGUGGCCUUGGUCCGAGUCCUUCCUAAUCGCAUCACAGAACACAACGCAAAGUAGAUUUCUGUUUUGGGGUCCAACGUCUUCUCUCCGCAGCACUGCUGGCCUGCUGGCUGAUGAACUUCUUGCUGACAGACGGUGUCUUUCUUGGGAGAGAAGGCGAUUUUCCCAACACAUGAGGAUGCUUCCAACUGGUUGCGAUACAGCCGUCCUUCACAACACAACUCAGCCGCAUUUGAGAGAUCCUGCACCUCUGAUCCACAGCACUGCAGCACACACACGCACACACACUUUAGAUUAGCAUAGCGGGGAAAAGCAGUCUGGUAGAGCCACCCCUACAGAUUAUAUUACUGUGGCCAAGAGUUUCUGACUGUUUGCUAAAAUGUUAGUGAUUUAUUAUUUUUUUUAAUGAUAGAAAAGAGAAAACAAAUCAAUUUAUAACAUUACAAGUACAAUGUACAGUUGAUAUGGCCUAUUACAGAUUCACAAGAACAUACUGAAUUUGAAAAUGCAAAACAAGUCAUCAAAACUCUACAAAAAUGCAAAGAAUUGGUUAAACCAAUAAGAUUUAGUUUUUAUGUCCAUAAAAAAAAGUAAGCACCUUCAUAAUGCACAAUGUUCACAAAUGACUCAACAGAACUAUUGAUUUUACGCAAUUAAUCGCAACAGCUCUGUAAAUCUAAACAUACAACAUUUAAUUAAACAAUAAAAAAAUAGUGAGACUUACUUGAGUAACAUGGUCAGAGUGAUGUUUGGGGUUCCUUUUGCAUUUGUCUGGAGAAGCGGAGUCUGCAGUUGAGUAUAGACCCAGCGAGCGAGUGAGCGAGGGAGAGAGAGGAAGGGAGGGGACACAUUAUGCACACCGUUGAUGCAAAAAAAACUCACAGAAUUCCAAACAGUGUGUUCAGUGAUUAGUAGAUACUCAACAAAGUCAAUUCCCCCAUCAUACUGUUUAAAUUGCAGGAAUAACUCUAUUGCAGGCCCAAACAGAGAGAGAGAGAGAGAGAGAGAGACAUACACAGAGAACAGGAGAGAGAGGGAGAGGGAUACAGAAAAUGAGAGAGAGAGAGAAACACAAACUGAAUGAGAGAGUGCAAGAUAAAGUGAAUGAAAGAGAAAGACAAACAGAAAAUGAGUGUGAGAAAGACAUAGGCAAAGGAUAGGAGAGAGACAUAUACAGAGAAUGAGAGAGAGAGAGAGAGAGAGAGAGGAAGACAGAGAGAGACAUAUACAGAGACUAAGAGAAAAAAACAGAGAGGGAGAGAGAAAGAAAUAUGCAUAGAAUGGGAAAAAGGAGAUACAGAGACAUAAACAGAGAGACACACAGAGAAUAUGAGAAAGAAGUAGAGAGAGAGAGAAAGAGAGAGAGAGAAAUAUGCAUAGAAUGGAAAAGAGAGAGAUACAGAGAAUAGGAGAGACAGACAUACAUAGAGAAACAGUGAAUAAGAGAAAGAGAGCUAAGAGAGACAUACAAAGAGAAUAUGAUUCAGAAAAAGAGAUACAGACAGAGAGAGAGAGAAAGAGAGAGAGAGAUGACAGCUUUGCACAUGAAGGGACUAUGAUUGGAAAAAUAUGCUGAGUGAAUGCCAAAGAAGGGAAAGACUGCUACUAAAGAAUGUAAAGUAUAAAAUGUGCAUGUAUGUUCCUUUAUCAUUUACACAGUUCAUUUUAAUCUAUAAUGCAGAAAAAAUAAUCAUAUAGAAAAUCAUUAAAUGAGAAAGAUUUUUGACCAUUCAGUUUAAUACAUGCCAGACAUUCGAGAGCCGUGAGUGUGGAGGUAUGGAGAACUACCGGAGUGCAGCACUGGGAAACUGUCAUCACCUACCCGACACUUCCUGCCAGAACUGCGGGACACACAGUUCCACUGCUCUACAGCUCAGUGUCGAGGGCUUUACACUCUUCCCUCUAUAGCCCAGGCCUCACGUCAGUUUAUGUUACUGUGUGUCUAAUAAUCUAUUAAAUUUUACUGAAACAAACUGGAUGAACUGGCACACUUUAUAUGUCAGCAUUCUACAAUCUACAAUCUGAGUAAAUGCUUAUAUAUUUCUGCAACUCAACAAUUCAAAAGGAGCUAGAGUUAUGUUGUGUUCCAUCCGAUUCCUGAUAUCUGAAUUAUCAAGUUCCAGCCUAAGUAACCCCAAGUUUAGAAUCCAAGAUUAUUUAUAGUAUUAUAGAGUUUAUUAUCACUUCUUUCUAUUGGUGUCACAAUAAAUCAUUCAUUCACACAGUAAAUGUGCACUCUCUCCGCAAAGUAACUUCUAUUUGUGGACAAGUUUCCAUGCUGUUUGGACGUUAAAAAUACAGUAUAAUGAGUCAUUCUUAAGUGGAAUUGCUAAUAAUGCUAACCUGCGACAUAUUUUUACUGAAUUCACCAUAAAACACUGGUAAAUAAUUGUCAGUUUUGGUAAACUCAAACUCAAAGCCUUUAACCUUUUUUGAGAUUUUGAAAGAUUGUACAACUAACAAAAUGUUUAACUGAAACGGCGUCAGCUCAAGUUAUACAAGCCAUUGGUUUAUUUUCUGUCAAGACCAACUUACAGCUGGUAAAUAGCAAUGGAAAUAAACUGAGUCUUCCUUCCUAAGUCUUCCCUUUUUCUUUAAUUAGUGAAAUUGCAAAUAAAACUAGUUUGUGAUGAGAACUGUUUUGUACACUUUUUAAAGAUUCUUAGAAACUGGAGAAAACUGGUAUAGGAAGGGGUCUGGCUGACCCACAUGGCAAUGUCUUUAACUUAGCUUAACAUUGGACUGAGUUUCAGAUUAUACAGUAAAACUUUGUCUGGGCUUUGUGAUACUGCUAUGCUAUGGACUGCUAACAGUGCCCUUUUUCAAGCAAAGUAUGAAAGUGUGUUGCAUAAAGUCCCUCAGAUAUUUUAGUUAACUAAGAUAAGACAGUGAGGGAUCUACUGCAGUUUUACUGUGGUUAAAUCUCACUGGAACAAUGCCACUGAUACAUCAAGGAAAAAAACUUUCACUGAACACUGCAGUCUUGCCAGCUUUGCAAGACAAAGAAAGCACAAACUUCCCACAGGAAAGCCUACGGACUUCACUCUCAGGAUUAAAAUAGCUCUAGGUUUGCUCUCGUUGGUCUCAUAGGAAUAAUAUUUACGUCAACUUGAGUUCACCUCCCUUACUCUCUCUUUCAUGCCUUGACUCGCUCUCCAAGGGGUGAACAUAAAUACACACACACACACUCCAGUCUGCCCACUCAUAAAAUUUCUCUCUCUAUCUCUCUCUCUCUCUUUCUCUGACUGGCAAGGCUAUCAUAUGUAUGUAUGACAGCAGGCACUGCAGAUACACAGAGACUUGAGCAAAACGCUUUAGUGCAACUUUGAAAAAAUAUGCUAAAAUAAAAAAUGGGAGUUGUACUUUUGGAGAAUCUCUUUAGCGAUGUAUAGGUUGUAUCAUCACAGGUUACCUCCCAUAAGACACUGUUGGUGGAUUCUCAGUCUAGCAGUGACACUGCUGUGUUUAAAACCUCCAGCAGCACUGCUGUGUCUGAUCCACUCAUACCAGCAGAACACCAACACUAACACACACCUCAUACACCACCACCACCAUGCCAAUCAGAGUAACUUUAGUGCUAUGAAUGAAUGACCCACCAUCUAAAUAAUAAUAGCUGAUAUGUGAUGGUUUCUCCUGUGGGGUUCUGACCAUUAAAAAACAGGUGAAUGAAUGAUAAUAAUAAUAAUAAUAAUAAUAAUAAUAAUAAUAAUAAAGCAAGAAACAGAUACAGAACUACAGUCUGUAAUUAGAGAAAUACAGUGAAUCACUGAAUGUGUGAUGUUUCCAUUUCCUUAGUGCUUAGUGUUAAUGCUAAUGGCAUAGGGAAAAUUACUUGUUGCUAAUAAAGAGGCAUACAUUA